rnacentral:misc_RNA from 1 species
GGGACUACUCGGGUUUCUAAUCCUGUUUGCUCCCCUAGCUGUCGCUUCUCAGCGUCAGUAAUGCCCCAGAAAACCGCCUUCGCCACUGAUGUUCCUCCCGAUCUCUACGCAUUUCACUACUACACCGGGAAUUCCGUUUUCCUUUGACACCCUCUAGUAUUACAGUAUUGUGCGCAUGCUCUGAGUUAAGCUCAGAGGUUUCACGCCCAACUUAUAUUACCGCCUACAAGCGCUCUACGCCCAGUAAAUCCGGAUAACGCUCGCAACCUACGUAUUACCGCGGCGGCUG